rnacentral:lncRNA from 1 species
CCUCAUAGCCUCUCACCAAAUGGUGGACGUUUUACUCCACCUCCACCUCCACCUCCACCUCCACCUCCUCCUCCUCCUCUACCAUCUGCAAAUGCUGUUACUGUCUUGUCCUCGAGAUCAUCCCAGCCACCCCAACCUUCCAUACUUCCAUUUCCUCAGACUGCAACUUUUACCCAGUUCGCACCUUCCUCUUCACAUCCGCCAUCCACUGGAACAAGCUUAUGGACAGCUGUGCAGGAAGCCAUUCCCAAACCCCCUCCUCCCCCUCCCCCUCUUCCCCACUCUUCCAAUGUGCAGAAUACCAGUAGAGUGCCGCCGCCUCCACCACCUCCUCCACCCCCGUUUUCAGGUGGGAGUUCAUGGCAUGCACCUUUAGGAGUAUCAAGUUCUGGAUACUCUGAAAGAUCUUCUAGCAUAAGAAAACCCUCUCCACCUCCACCACCCCCACCUCCUCCGACACCACCACCUCCCAUGAAUGGGCUUCCUUCUUUUCAAUCACAUCGAGCUCCACCUUUACCCCCAGUCCCACCUCCUCUGUCCGGCGGUCCACCUCGUCCACGUGGUGCUCCACCACCUCCACCUCCUCCUCCACCACCUCCUUUUUCACGUGGUGCACCCCCACCUCCACCUCCCCCUCCCCCACCUCCUUCUCGUGGAGCACCACCACCUCCACCUCCGCCUCCCACUUACGAAAAUUAUUUUCCUCAGAGCCAUAGAACUCCACCACCCACCACUCCUCCUCCUCACCGUAGUGCUCCACCUCCACCACCGCCUCCUCCUCUUGGUGCACCUGGGGUACCGCCUCCUCCACCUCCACCGUCCGGGAUGGGGAAUGCCUGGUCCACCGCCUCCUCCACCACCUUCCCGGANACCGCCUCCUCCACCACCUCCGGGAAGGGGAAUGGCUGCCCCACCGCCUCCUCCACCACCUCCCGGAAGGGGAAUGCCUGCCCCACCGCCUCCUCCACCACCUCCGGGAAGGGGAAUGCCUGCCCCACCGCCUCCUCCUCCACCUCCUGGACGUGGAAUGCCGGCGCCACCGCCACCUCCCCCUCGUGGAGCUCCACCACCUCCACCUCCUCCUACACGUGGAGCCCCAGUUCCACCUCCCCCACCUUCAGCUCGUGGCCCGCCGCCACCUCCACCCAUAGGAGGAGCACCACCUCCACCACCACCUCCUGGAGGUCGUGUGCCUGGUCCACCUGCACCUCCAGGACCUCCUAGACCUCCAGGAGGUG